rnacentral:rRNA from 1 species
UGAUAGGUCGGGUGUGUAAGCGCAGCGAUGCGUUGAGCUAACCGAUACUAAUGAACCGUGAGGCUUAACCUUACAACGCCGAAGGUGUUU